CCAGACAGCCAGGAUGUUGGCUUAGAAGCAGCCAUCAUUUAAAGAAAGCGUAAUAGCUCACUGGUCGAGUCGGCCUGCGCGGAAGAUGUAACGGGGCUAAACCAUGCACCGAAGCUGCGGCAGCGACACUGAUGUGUUGUUGGGUAGGGGAGCGUUCUGUAAGCCUGUGAAGGUGGCCUGUGAGGGUUGCUGGAGGUAUCAGAAGUGCGAAUGCUGACAUAAGUAACGAUAAAGCGGGUGAAAAGCCCGCUCGCCGGAAGAC
rnacentral:rRNA from 1 species